CGGGGCUGGGCCGGGUUCCGGCCCGGGGCCGGGCCAGGGCAGGGCCGCAGUGAUUUUCAAAGGAGAUUCUCAAUUGAACUACUGCCAUAACUUUCUGAAGAGUCUUUCUAAUUGGUCCAAAACUUGGAGGAGUUGGUGUGAGAACUGGACUUUGUGCUGUCAACAUUCUGAGUGUGGAGCCAGUGCUAAAUCCGUGCAACUAUAUGGGAAUGGAAUAAAUGACACUAUUUAAACAAGGAAAUGCUCCUGGCUUAGGCAUUUUAUCUGCACAAAUGCACACUAGGAGAGGAAGAGCAAAUCAGAGAUGAAAACGUAUCAGUUUGCAUGGCCUGAAUGUCUGGCUCUGGAAAUUCUGCAUUGCACAAGAUGUGCUGAGCUCAACUGGCUCUGAAAUAUCAUCUCUGCACCUUAGCCAGGAACAGCAUCAGAGUUUUGAACAGAUUCAUCAAAAUCAGUCAUAAGUCAGAAGCAAACCUUGGCAAUACACAUCUGUGGCAGGUGAGGAGAGCAAAAGCUCCCAUUCUUGUUCUUGGAGAAUGAAUUCAGCAAUAAAAAUUCCUCUCUCUUGGCAUUAAAAUACUUUAGUGUCAGCUCUGCCCCAGACUAUCAGUGUCAAGUAUUUCUCUGGGUGCUUGGGGGUAGGUUCUCCCCCUGUAGCUCUCUGCAGGUUGGUGCUAAUUCAAGAUGUUACCUCAGCUUCAGAUGUUUUGCUGCCUGAGCAGAGUGUGCAGAACAGGGAUUACAAGCACUGACAUUUGCUGUGCUAGAAAGUGCAAGGGACACAUUUGUGCCAAUGAACGUCACACCUUUAACUAGGAGGAUCAAUUCUUGUGCUCAGCAGAGUCUGUGGACAGAGGGGGUUUUCCAAAGGAAAUCUUGGUCCAUGUAGGGCUGAGGCUCCCU